ensembl:lncRNA
CUUGUUGGUUGAUAUUUUCUGUCCAGUUACAAGGAAGACUUCAAAAAGGAUACUAAAAAAAACACUGUUAUUUAAUAUUUGUAUAUUAAUAUUAAUAUUAUUAAUUAUUUUGUUACAUUAUAUUACAUUUAUAUUUCAUAUGAAAAAAUUGUAUGGUCCACAGAAUAAAGUCAAACAAGUUUGGAAUAACUUGAGUAGAUGAUGACAAAAUUUGAAUUCAUUUUUGGGUGAACCAAUCCUUUACAGCUCAGUCAUUCUAUGACUAUGAGUUGAUGACAGAGUGUUUUCUGAAUGUUCCUGACACACUUUACACCAUGUAUCUCUUGAGAUCAACUCAUAUGACUCAUUGAGAGUGAAUCGUGUAGAAAAAUGAGAAAUAUCAGAGAGGAGGAAAUGCUGGAGACACAAGGAAUCCAUCAUAAUUUCCCCCUUCUGCUCCCUGGAUUGAUUUAGCCUAACUGCAGAGCCCCAAAUUAUUUCAGGAGCAAUUAAAAGCAAGCUCACUUUCAGUGAGAAGACAUUAAAACUAUCAGGGAAAAAUACAGUCUGAUGUCUAGCAGAGACUUUUCACUUUCUAUCUCAGCAGCCGACUGAAUCCAGCAGCGCUGAUGACUUUGAGAGAGGAGGACGCGUGUCAGGAUGUCUGGAGCCUGGAGUUUCAGCCACACAUUACUUCUGCAGAUUGCCAAGCUUUAUGUGCUUCACGCGGGUCCCCUGGCUACUCUUGCGAUAAAUGCCAUCAGUGGCAGGCUGGCAGCACAGGUUUUGUUUGAGAUUCAAGCUGUGGGCCCCGAUCAGACCGAUCCCUGCUGGGUGACCUCGGUGGGCACUGAAGGAGGAGGUGGGCAUGGUUUGCAUUUCCUCUAUUUCAAAGCUGGAGGCUAUCGACCACAGCCUCCUAAACAGGGAGCAGGCCCAUGUCUGUUUGAUCAUAUGGCAUAUGAAAGAGAAGUAAUUAGGAAUGAAAAGACCCUUCUUUGAGUCAGGACAUGCAUGAUAUCCCAUUACAGCUCUUUGAAUCCCCUGCUUGUGCAAAAGAUUUGUGUGAAGUCCUACAGAUGAUAGUUACAUAAGCUUUGAAUUUUGACUUUGCCAUGUGUUAAAGCCUCAUU